rnacentral:rRNA from 1 species
CCUACGGGUGGCUGCAGUAGGGAAUUUUCGUCAAUGGGCGCAAGCCUGAACGAGCAAUGCCGCGUGAACGAGGAAGGUCUUCGGAUCGUAAAGUUCUGUUGAAGGGGAAAAAGAGCGGAGAGAGGAAAUGCUUUCUGAUUGAUAUUACCCUUCGAGGAAGUCACGGCUAACUACGUGCCAGCAGCCGCGGUAAUACGUAGGUGGCGAGCGUUAUCCGGAUUUAUUGGGUUUAAAGGGUGCGUAGGCGGUCAGGUAAGUUAGAGGUGAAAGCUCGAUGCUCAACAUCGAAACUGCCUCUGAUACUGUCUGACUAGAGUGUAGUUGCGGAAGGCGGAAUGUGUGGUGUAGCGGUGAAAUGCUUAGAUAUCACACAGAACACCGAUUGCGAAGGCAGCUUUCCAAGCUAUUACUGACGCUGAGGCACGAAAGCGUGGGGAGCGAACAGGAUUAGAUACCCUGGUAGUC